UAAACAUACUCUUGAAGUAAUUAAAGAAACUAUAACACAGUGAAGUAAAAUUCUCCAUAUAGACUUCUGCUUCUAUACAAACUAACUGUUUGGAUUUGCCUUCUCACACAGAAUAUAUAUGCUCUAACUAUUUUCAGAAAUUGAACAUAGGCAGCACAAGACUGUAGUCCUUGAAAGAAGAGAAAUACCUAAAUGAGCCCUGUGAUUUUCCCUGGUAUCUUCCUUGAAGCAGUUUUCUUUUGCAGCACAGCGAAGUGAAUCUCAGACAAAAGAGUCAUCUCCGUGAGCAGAGAAAGGAAGGCGUGUAGUUCUGGACUGCUGAAGUGGAUCAGAUUAGUAAGGCAGCUUACCCAAGAAGAGGAAAUCAUGAAAGAUAACAUUAAAGAACAAGAGAGGACAAGAAGGUGGCUACAAAUGCAGAAGAUAAAAUCACCACCUUUAACGUAAUCUUGGAGAAUGAAAAAGUACAUGGAAGAAAUGCAGUCAAGAAAUUCCAGACGGGCUACUCAGAAUUUCCAAAAAACCCAGCUUGAGGAACAUGAAGCAUCAGAUUGAAUGAAACCUUCCAAGGCCUUUCAGAAGUGUCUCGAAGUCUCCAACAACUGCAUCCA
rnacentral:lncRNA from 10 species